CUCCAGACUCCUACGGGAGGCAGCAGUGGGGAAUAUUGCACAAUGGGGGGAACCCUGAUGCAGCGACGCCGCGUGGGUGAAGGAGCACCUCGGUGCGUAAAGCCCUAUCGGCAGGGAAGAAACAGACGGUACCUGACUAAGAAGCCCCGGCUAACUACGUGCCAGCAGCCGCGGUAAUACGGAGGAUGCGAGCGUUAUCCGGAUUUAUUGGGUUUAAAGGGUGCGCAGGCGGCACGGCAAGCCGGCGGUCAAAUCGCGGGGCUCAACCCCGCCCAGCCGUCGGAACUGCCGGGCUAGAGUGGGCGAGAAGUGCGCGGAAUGCGUGGUGUAGCGGUGAAAUGCAUAGAUAUCACGCAGAACUCCGAUUGCGAAGGCAGCGCACCGGCGCCCUACUGACGCUGAGGCACGAAAGCGUGGGGAGCAAGCAGGAUUAGAUACCCCUGUA
rnacentral:rRNA from 1 species